rnacentral:rRNA from 1 species
UACGAAGGGGGCUAGCGUUGCUCGGAAUCACUGGGCGUAAAGGGUGCGUAGGCGGGUCUUUAAGUCAGGGGUGAAAUCCUGGAGCUCAACUCCAGAACUGCCUUUGAUACUGAAGAUCUUGAGUCCGGGAGAGGUGAGUGGAACUGCGAGUGUAGAGGUGAAAUUCGUAGAUAUUCGCAAGAACACCAGUGGCGAAGGCGGCUCACUGGCCCGGUACUGACGCUCAUGCACGAAAGCGUGGGGAGCAAACAGG